rnacentral:rRNA from 1 species
AUUGAACGCUGGCGGCAGGCUUAACACAUGCAAGUCGAGCGGGGUGAUGGUGCUUGCACUAUCACUUAGCGGCGGACGGGUGAGUAAUGCUUAGGAAUCUGCCUAUUAGUGGGGGACAACAUCUCGAAAGGGAUGCUAAUACCGCAUACGUCCUACGGGAGAAAGCAGGGGAUCACUUGUGACCUUGCGCUAAUAGAUGAGCCUAAGUCGGAUUAGCUAGUUGGUGGGGUAAAGGCCUACCAAGGCGACGAUCUGUAGCGGGUCUGAGAGGAUGAUCCGCCACACUGGGACUGAGACACGGUCCAGACUCCUACGGGAGGCAGCAGUGGGGAAUAUUGCACAAUGGGCGCAAGCCUGAUGCAGCCAUGCCGCGUGUAUGAAGAAGGCCUUCGGGUUGUAAAGUACUUUCAGCGGGGAGGAAGGCGGUGAAGUUAAUAACUUCACCGAUUGACGUUACUCGCAGAAUAAGCACCGGCUAACUCUGUGCCAGCCGCCGCGGUAA